CAGCAGCCACGGGAAUACGUAGGUGGCGAGCGUUGUCCGGAAUUAUUGGGCGUAAAGGGAGCGCAGGCGGACAUAUAAGUCCAUCUUAAAAGUGCGGGGCUCAACCCCGUGAGGGGAUGGAAACUGUAUGCCUUGAGUGCAGGAGAGGAAAGCGGAAUUCCCAGUGUAGCGGUGAAAUGCGUAGAUAUUGGGAGGAACACCAGUGGCGAAGGCGGCUUUCUGGACUGCAACUGACGCUGAGGCUCGAAAGCCAGGGGAGCGAACGGGAUUAGAGACCCCCGUAGUCCCUGUCUCUUAUACC
rnacentral:rRNA from 1 species